GGCGACAUAGCCAAGUGGUAAGGCGUGGGUCUGCAACACCCUGAUCACCAGUUCGAAUCUGGUUGUCGCCUC
rnacentral:tRNA from 2 species